rnacentral:rRNA from 1 species
AGAUUGAACGCUGGCGGCAUGCCUAACACAUGCAAGUCGAACGGGAGUAGCAAUACUCUAGUGGCGGACGGGUGAGGAAUACGUAGGAAUUUGCCCUUAAGUGGGGGAUAACCCGGGGAAACCCGGAUUAAUACCGCAUGACCUCGAAAGAGCAAAGUGGGGGAUCGCAAGACCUCACGCUUUUGGAGAAGCCUACGUCGGAUUAGCUAGUUGGUGAGGUAAUGGCUCACCAAGGCGACGAUCCGUAACUGGUCUGAGAGGAUGAUCAGUCACACCGGAACUGAGACACGGUCCGGACUCCUACGGGAGGCAGCAGUGGGAAUAUGGACGAUGGGCGCAAGCCUGAUCCAGCAAA